AGCUCAAUAGCUCAGUUGGUUAGAGCGCCAAUCUUGUAAACUGGAGGUCGAGAUUCCUACUGGAGCCA